rnacentral:lncRNA from 1 species
UCAAGAUAGGUGAGAUCUUUGGUGUGAUUAAAAAACCAAUUUGGUAACUGAGAGGUGAUGUUGUUUCGAGAAAGAUCAAGAGUUAGAAGUGAAGACAAAUUCGAAUAUUGAAUAGAUGGGUUGAUGAUGAAGUUGUUCAGUUUACAAUAACGCAACUGUAACUCAAAUAGUGAAGGAAGUGUAUUAACAGCUUGAAGCCAAUUGGUUACCUUAUGAAGAUCAAUUCCACUAAGGUUGAGAUAUUUCAAUGAAGAAAGUAUAGAAAGCCAAUCAAGAUUAUCCAUCUGAAGAAUACCAUAGUAGUAAGAGGAUAAGUCAAGGUAGAAAAGGUUAGAUGCAUGUGUGAUGUUGUGUUGAAUGGUUGUAAAACUUAUCACAUCAAAAUCAUUCUUACUCAAAUCCAAGUAACUGAGAAACUCAAGUUCUAGAAUACACAUAUUGAAUUCACCUGUCAAAGUUCUGUAAGGUGGAUCUAAGUUGAGAUCGAGUUUUGUAACUCUGUUGGUUAUGUUGUCACAGGAGACUCCUUUCCAUGCACAACAAUCUUUUUCGGUUGACCAUGUUGAUAUCAGACCAUAACUAUCAUUGAUUCCCUUUUUAAAGAUUGAUAAUGUCUCUUUAUCUUUCUCAUUGCAUCGAACCAAUUUGUGAUCAUUGAUUGACAUGCAUUUGUGAAAUGUGGUUAAAGAUAAAAGUAGAAGCAAAAGAAGUGGCANNNNNNNNNNNNNNNNNNNNNNNNNNNNNNNUGGAUCAAAGAAAUACGAUCGAAUUGAAAUGGGAGUAUAAUUUUUUAGGAGAUUCUAGUGUGGUUAUAUAAAUUGGAAAACUUGGAAGUUUGAAUUACGUGAUAAGAAAGUAUGUGAACAAUAGUUUAACCAUAUCAGCUUCACAGCUUGGUUUGUGGAAGUUUCAAAAUUGGACAAAAGCAGAGAACUGAUUGUUCGAAAGACUUUGAAAAAAAAUGAAGACUUAGAAUUAUAUAAUUUCUAUGAACCACAUGUUUUAAACUUG